rnacentral:rRNA from 1 species
AUUGAACGCUGGCGGCAUGCUUUACACAUGCAAGUCGAACGGUAACAGGUUAAGCUGACGAGUGGCGAACGGGUGAGUAAUGCAUCGGAACGUGCCCGAUCGUGGGGGAUAACGCAGCGAAAGCUGCGCUAAUACCGCAUACGAUCUGAGGAUGAAAGCGGGGGACCGUAAGGCCUCGCGCGAUCGGAGCGGCCGAUGUCGGCUUAGGUAGUGGGUGGGGUAAAGGCUCACCAAGCCAACGAUCUGUAGCUGGUCUGAGAGGAAGACCAACCACAGUGGGACUGAGCGUCGGCGCAGACUCCUGCGGGAGGCAGCAGUGGGGAAUUUUGGACAAUGGGCGAAAGCCUGAUCCAGCAAUGCCGCGUGAAGGAAGAAGGCCUGCGGGUUGGAAACUGCUUUUGUACGGAGCGAAAAGGUCUCCUCUAAUACAGGGGGCUCAUGACGGUACCGUAAGAAUAAGCACCGGCUAACUACGUGCCAGCCGCCGCGGUAA